UGGGAUGGUAUUUGGAGUUACAUGUGUGAC
rnacentral:piRNA from 1 species